rnacentral:rRNA from 1 species
CAGUAGCCGCGGAAUACGUAGGGCGCAAGCGUUGUCCGGAAUUAUUGGGCGUAAAGAGCUCGUAGGCGGUCUGUCGCGUCUGGUGUGAAAUCCCGAGGCUCAACCUCGGGCUUGCAUCGGGUACGGGCAGACUAGAGUGCGGUAGGGGAGACUGGAAUUCCUGGUGUAGCGGUGGAAUGCGCAGAUAUCAGGAGGAACACCGAUGGCGAAGGCAGGUCUCUGGGCCGCAACUGACGCUGAGGAGCGAAAGCAUGGGGAGCGAACAGGAUUAGAUACCCCGGUAGUCCCUGUCUCUUAUACA